GACGAACGCUGGCGGCGUGCUUAACACAUGCAAGUCGAACGGAAAGGCCCUGCUUGCAGGGUACUCGAGUGGCGAACGGGUGAGUAACACGUGGGUGAUCUGCCCUGCACUUCGGGAUAAGCCUGGGAAACUGGGUCUAAUACCGGAUAGGAGCCAUUUUUAGUGUGAUGGUUGGAAAGUUUUUUCGGUGUAGGAUGAGCUCGCGGCCUAUCAGCUUGUUGGUGGGGUAAUGGCCUACCAAGGCGGCGACGGGUAGCCGGCCUGAGAGGGUGGACGGCCACAUUGGGACUGAGAGACGGCCCAGACUCCGACGGGAGGCAGCAGGGGGGAAUAUUGCACAAGGGGCGCAAGUCUGAUGCAGCGACGCCGCGUGGGGGAUGACGGCCUUCGGGCUGUAAACUCCUUUCGCUAGGGACGAAGCUUUUUGUGACGGUACCUAGAUAAGAAGCACCGGCUAACUACGUG
rnacentral:rRNA from 1 species